UUCACGCUCUCCCUAGCAAACUCUGCCCGAAACUUCGUCUCCCUCUCAAAAAUUUCACCCGCUCUCAAAUUGUCACCCCCAGUUACUUCGUCCACUUCCAGAGCCCUCUCUGACCCUAAGCUCACGCACUCUCUCUCUACCCAAAACCCUUUCUGGCUCUAUCUGAUUCCAAAUCCCUUUUAUUAUCUUUAACCCCAAACGAGCUCAUUCUUUCUCAUCUAGAAAUCCUCUUCGUUCCUAAACCCUCUCACGACUGCAAUCGCAAGCCUUGCAGAACCUCACGGCUGCAACCCUAAUUUGAUUCCCAGAAACGCAAGAAAGGUGCUGUGGAUCAUGAGGUUGGAGAAAUAUUGAAGGAUUUUGCACAAAAAGAUCUGGAUGAUGAGUUCAACAAGAUUGAUGAUCUGAAGAAAGAGAGUAAUAUUAUUAGGCUGGACUUGGACAUGGGGUUCUUCAAAGAUCACAAGGAGGAAGUGGAUUUGGAACUUCGACUUGGGCAUCUAAGAGGUGCCAUGUGAUUGGUUGAAGUUGGAGAAAAGGCUGGGUGAAAGAAAUGUGGGAAAGAGAUAUUGAAGAAUGUGGAAUGGCUGGAGUAGUUUCCCUUAAAGGUGGAAGAUUUCAAGCGCUUUGAUGAGUGGGUGACUGUUUUCAAAGGUGGAAUUGUUACAGGCCUUAUUGGUUUAGCUGUAAUGUAUGUGGGGCUAUGAUGUCCAGGUUGGUUAAUGUAUUGAAUGAUGAUUAUUGAAUAUUGGCCUUAUACUUGAUACUGCAAAAGUCUGAGAGUACAUGUCAAAUGCUUAUUUUUAUUGGAAUUUUGUCAUCUGUUUGUAUCAUUUGUGCUUUAUUAUCUUUAGUUUUCAUUUUUUUAUUUGUAGCUUAUAAAAAAAACAAAACAAAAGGGGACUGCUGUGUAUGGAAGGGCAGAACACUUGAAAGAGAAGAAAAUAGUGAGAAGAAAAUAGCGGAGAAGGAUGAGGAAAUUGAUAGAGCUCUUCUAUGGAAGUUUGCACAUGAAGAUAGGAAUGGGAAGAUUGGCUUUUUGUUUGUACUAAGCAUUCUCUCUCUUCAUUUUACAUGUCCUUUUUUUUUUUUUUUUUUUUUUGCUAGUAUUUUGGUUAUAGACAAGUAUGGAUCAUAUGUGGGUUUAGAAAAAUAGUGAUUUGUGGAAAGUGCUGGAUAUAUAUAUAUAUAUAUAUUUCAAGUA